rnacentral:rRNA from 1 species
CGGACGGGCGAGUAAUGUAUGGGGAUCUGCCUGAUGGCGGGGGAUAACUACUGGAAACGGUAGCUAAUACCGCAUAAUGUCUACGGACCAAAGCGGGGGACCUCCGGGCCUCGCGCCAUCAGAUGAACCCAUAUGGGAUUAGCUUGUAGGUAAGGUAACGGCUUACCUAGGCGACGAUCCCUAGCUGGUCUGAGAGGAUGAUCAGCCACACUGGGACUGAGACACGGUCCAG